rnacentral:lncRNA from 7 species
CCCGGCUCCGCGCUCGGGCAGGGCUCAGUCACCGCUCUCCGACUUUUGCAGUGUUGGAUCCAUGCAAAGCUACUGUGGAAAUUGUCCUGAACCAGCAGCAAAAGGAAAUAUUUAUGCUAACAGCCAAAAGUCAUCUCAGGCAACGUAAGGAUAUCUCACAUACGACUCGUUAACAGCAUCUGAAUGAAAGCAGCAUUGCAGUCCUGACCGUACACUCUUCAUUGCAGCCUCUUCAUGACCAGUUUCGUAGUAAGAAACGCUGCUUUCUACGAGGAGGCAUGAGGUUUAUUCAACAGUAAUUCAAGAGCACCAUAAGGAGCAGCCUAGAGAUUGAAGACAUCGACUCCUAGCCUUUCUUGUGCAGAAUCACUUCAAGUCCACUGGAGGUUUUCCACUAAUCUGGGCUUGUGAUUAUUGUCUCUUCUUGUAUGGAAGACUGCCAUUCUUUAGAGGAGAGAAAACAUCUUGAGUCAGCCAAAGUGCGGGAAAUCCAGGGCCUGGCACACACAGGCUACGUUUCUAGGAGUAAAUGUAAUGUGCUCAAGACCAUUGCUAAAGACUGUGUUAAUUAAGCCAGCUGGCACAGGAUAGGUUACAUCCAUUCUGUCCAUACUUCUUAUUCCCUGUAAGAGGACAGCCUUACGCGAACUACUAAUUACUUCCUAUGCUUCCUAACUUCCCAACAGUACCACAGAAUCAAUGGGGAGAGUUGUCACAACAACGUGUCAGGGUUUGCUAUAGCAGUUUAACAGUGUAUAUGGCUGUUCCAGUGCCAGGAACCCUCCCUAGCAGCACUCAGUUUUGUCUUCUAGUAUAGGCGCAGCCUGUGAGUUCUGCCUGUAUUUCAGUGAUCACCAGUCAUCCUAUGAGGAUUGUUACCAGUUGGAAGAACCUACAGGGGCUUUUUUUGCACCAUGGCCUAAACUGGAGCAAAACAAACAUCAAAAUCUGAGAAUUCAUAAGCAGCUUUGGAAAUAGUUCUGUGUCUUUACUGUCAGGCAGCUGUACAAAGCCUCCACUGGAGGCAGCAAAGGGUCUAUGUAAAUCAGGAAGAUUCACAGUGAAAUCAUAUUUGCAUCAAAAUAGAAUAAAAAGGGUCUAAAAAUAUCUUUUUUUUUUUUUUUCCUCUUGUGUACAUUUUCUUUUGAGUAGAUCCUAUAUUGCAAUGAAAUAAAACUGCCAAUACUUUUAGUUUUAGCUUGAGGGAAAAGAAGCGUUUAAAAAGCAAUAUUAUAAGACCUUGGCAAGAUGGUCUUUCUACUAAGACAGAAAAUGACUUUGCCUCACAUUACAUUAUUUUUAACAAUCUAUACUGUACUUACUGAAUUCUUUACUAACACGAUUGCUCUCUUCAGCCUCUUUCAUCUCAUUCCCCUCCAAAAACUCAGAACCAUGCUAAAUGGUUCUAAAACUGAAAAUUGUCUCUAUUUAACAUUCAUUACAAAGUGGAGAAAAUCUUCAAUUUAUAUGUGGUGGGUUUUUUUGUUGUUGUUUUGUUUGUUUGUUAUGUUUUUUGUUUGUUUGUUUGUUUUUGGCUGGUGUUAAAUUUCUGUGUUCCAAAAAUAAUGUUAUAAAGACCUUUUCUAUGAUCUAAUUUUUUUUAAUUUUCACUAUUUUGGAAACACAGCUAGAUGAAGGAAAAACAAAAACAAAAAAAACACACCACAAAAUAGCUGUGUAACUGUGAAAAGACUUUCCAUUGCUGAAUUAGUACCUGUAUGCUGCCAUCAAAAAUACAAAUCUAACUGACGAUUCACUGUUUACGUUAUUCAUUCGGGUUUUACAUGGGGCUCAGCUUAGAUAAUAAAAGCAUCCAUUUUCACAUUUUCUAGUUGGCACUCUUAUCUGGGGAAGUCUUUAUACGUUUUUAUAAUGAAUUAGAGGAAAAAGAUAACUCAAGGGAAAGGCAUUUGUCUUAAAAUGUUAAUUUCCAAUUAAAAUAUUGAAUGCAGAG